rnacentral:rRNA from 1 species
GAUGAACGCUGGCGGCGUGCCUAAUACAUGCAAGUCGAGCGAACAGACGAGGCGCUUGCUCCUCUGCCGUUACCGACGGACGGGUGAGUCCCACGUGGCUACCCUACCUAUAAGACUGAGAUCCCUUCGCGGACCCGGAUCUCAUACCGGUCCCUAUAUUGAACCGCAUGGUUCAUUCGUCCUCGCCCUUUUUGCUGUCCCUUAUACAUAGAUCCUCGCCGCAUUAGCUAGUUGGUAAGGUAACGGCUUACCAAGGCAACGAUGCGUAGCCGACCUGAGAGGGUGAGAGGCCACACUGGAACUGAGACACGGUCCAGACUCCUACGGGAGGCAGCAGUAGGGAAUAUUGCGCAAUGGGAGAAAGCCUGGCGGAGCAACGCCGCGUGAGUGAUGAAGGUCUUCGGAUCGUAAAACACUGUUAGUAGGGAAGAAGAAAUGUGAAAGUAAAUAUGCACGUAUUGACGGUACCAAAACAGAAAGCCACGGCUAACUACGUG